GCAACACAGAAAACCGUGGUAAAGGGAAGGAAAACCAUGGUAAAGCAUACUUUUCAGCCUGUUUGUCCUAGUCGAUAAACCUUUUGAUGCAGUUACAGCCUUACAAUGGAAUCCCGUGAAGAGUUUUAAUUCAUCAGGUGUUAUAAUGUGAAAUCAAGAUUGUAUGAAUGCCACUUUUGUCAUACAGCAGCAACAUGUCAAGGAAUGCUGAAGGCUUCAGUUUUAAAUCGAUAUUUUUUUUUUUUUUACCAUUUGAAGUACCUAUCAAAUCACAAAAUCUGGCCACACCUUUUACAGUCAUACAAUCUGAGAUAGAGAAUAUAUUUAAAAAAAAAAAAAAUUAAAAUUUUCAUUUUGAAUAAUUUAUUGUAUCACUACCAAAUAUUGAUAUUCGGGUCUCAUCACUCCAACAAUUCCAUCCCAUUUGUUCUUUAGACCAAUUAUGUUUUUUAGUCCAUUCUAAACACUUCUUUCUUUGUUUGGGAGACAAAUGUUUUAUUUACUUGCAAUUAUAUACACCAGACCUUUCCAACAAACCUAUCACUCAUUUUCAAACCACAUUGAGACAAUUUUUAAUUUUUAUUAACUCAAUAUUUUGUGUUGAGCACCUUUCCCGCUUUUACCAGUUCAGUUCUGAAUUGAUCGUAUGCAGAUACCACAUUUGGUUACUUGUCUUAUGAUUUCCUACUUACUGUGGCCUUCACACACAGUCAUCUUACUAAAGGCUUGGUUGAACAUGCUUUCUAAUUUUAUACUGUUUGAUAAAUAUAGAGGUCUACACUACGUCAACUAAGUUUAGUUUACGGAGUUAUAAAAUAGAAAAAAAAAAAUACAGUGAACUUGAUGACAAACACAGAUGAAUAAGAGUCCUAUUAUUAGCGCUAAUGCAAGGAAAUAGGAGUAUAUUGUAUAUUGGUUCCAUGCUGUGCCACAGCAUGUGAUUAGCGCUCAAAACAAUCAGUCUCAUUGAUCAAUUCUAGGUCCACAUCAUGUAACAUAAGUCAGCUGUGUUUUCUUUGUCUGGUUAGUUGGGUAUAACUUUUGAUAGAAUAGAGAAUAUUAAAAAGACCUUUGUUGCAUUUCAUUCUGCAUGUCUAAAGAUAUGUAAUUAAACCGGAGUGUAACCAGUAUUGCUUUAAAGGCACACUUCAAUGACAAAUAGAAAUUUAAUUUGAUAAGUUUUGGUCUCAUUAAAUGGGACACUGUACUUCCCAAAUAAAUAAUUUUUAAAAGUUACUAUUUCGUAGAUAUACCCCCAAAUCAGAGCUUUAACCCCUUAAGGACACAUGGCAUGUGUGACAUGUCAUGAUUCCCUUUUAUUCC